rnacentral:lncRNA from 1 species
AAAAUGCCCAAAAUAAGCCCUAAAAUCUCAUUCUAGGGUUUCAUCUCAAAACCACCAAUAAAAAUUCAAUCUAGAGGGAGAGAACAAGUAGAUUACCUCUUAGAAGCUUCAAUCUAGGCUCUAAAUCCUCUAACCUCAGAGAUCUUCCCUUAACAAGGCUCCAAAUCCAAACUUCAAGCUUCAACAAUAGUGGAAUUGCACCAAAAGAGAAAAAGAGAGAGAGAUUAAACCCUUAAUCCAAGCUAAAAAUGAGAUCAAAACCAAAGGAGAAGCAUGGAGGAGCUCCCCUUACCUUCUCUCAGCACUGGCAGGCUCAAAGAGCAGCCCUAGGGGCGUGGGUGCUGUUAUAGAGAUGCCACAAUCGCAAAAAACCCCCUGCAGUUCAAACUGCUCAA